rnacentral:rRNA from 1 species
GAUGAACGCUGGCGGCGUGCCUAAUACAUGCAAGUCGAGCGAACAGACGAGGAGCUUGCUCCUUUGACGUUAGCGGCGGACGGGUGAGUAACACGUGGGUAACCUACCUAUAAGACUGGGAUAACUUCGGGAAACCGGAGCUAAUACCGGAUAAUAUUUCGAACCGCAUGGUUCGAUAGUGAAAGAUGGCUUUGCUAUCACUUAUAGAUGGACCUGCGCCGUAUUAGCUAGUUGGUAAGGUAACGGCUUACCAAGGCAACGAUACGUAGCCGACCUGAGAGGGUGAUCGGCCACACUGGAACUGAGACACGGUCCAGACUCCUACGGGAGGCAGCAGUAGGGAAUCUUCCGCAAUGGGCGAAAGCCUGACGAAGCAACGCCGCGUGAGUGAUGAAGGUCUUCGGAUCGUAAAACUCUGUUAUUAGGGAAGAACAAACGUGUAAGUAACUGUGCACGUCUUGACGGUACCUAAUCAGAAAGCCACGGCUAACUACGUG